AAGCCAUGCAGUAAGCACAGAGCGAACUAUUCUUUUGCCUUUUAAUCGUGUGCUUGCUGCAAUUUAGUGGGCAUACGUUUAUUUUUGGUGGGGUUUCUUUCUCAAAGAAGCU